AGGCGAACGAACAGCACACAAGGGCACGAGAAGACCACCGAAAUGAACGGCGCCAGAUGAAGAUGAGACUCGGCCUCUGGUUGUGGUGGUGCGCAUCCUUUUUGUUUUGCCAGUUGCCACAUUCAACUGAGGAACUUGAUAUCGUUGACUACUUCUUAGACCUCCAACACACAAAGGAUUCAUCAAUGAAUAUGCAGAAAUGAGUUGUAGACUUUCUUGUUGAGGUGCCUUUCAAAUACUAGUGUAUGACGAAUGUCAUGUAAAUGAGACUGUACUUGGUUGAGCCAUGUAUUGACUGAGUUUAUUUACUGCAAAUGAUAUGAUUGGCCUGCAAAUGAUUAGAUA